rnacentral:lncRNA from 1 species
UGUGAAUAAAAGAGGAGAUCGUUCUCCUCUUGGGUGAGAGACCUAGAACUGUUCUAGAUAUUUGGGUGAGAAAAAAACUAAAGAGAAGAGAGUCUUCAUCUAAAUUUUCUCCACCAUUUAUUAUUCUUCUUUGAUUCAUCUUUAACAUCAAAAAGAUUUGAGGUGAUCAAAGAGGAAGAUAAAGUUAGAUCUGCCAUCAAAAGCCGACUGUGCGAGCUAGCACUUCCGCGGAGGGCUGAUUAGUCCGAGAGACUUCUGUGGACCAUCCGUAG